UACGUAGGGACCAAGCGUUGUUCGGAUUUACUGGGCGUAAAGGGCGCGUAGGCGGCAAUUCAAGUCAUCUGUGAAAUCUCCGAGCUUAACUCGGAACGGUCAGAUGAUACUGUUUUGCUAGAGUACAGAAGGGGCAAUCGGAAUUCUUGGUGUAGCGGUGAAAUGCGUAGAUAUCAAGAGGAACACCUGAGGUGAAGACGGGGUUGCUGGGCUGAUACUGACGCUGAGGAGCGAAAGUGUGGGGAGCGAACAGG
rnacentral:rRNA from 1 species